CCACCUGUUUGACCUCAGGCUGCAGCUUGGCAGUAGUUUCGUGCAGAAAAGCCGCCAACGUACGGUGCUGUGCGGUGUUGCUGCAUUUCGACCCGUGCAUCCAUUCCAGGUCGGAGAGCGGAUUCCUCUCAGCUCUCACUUUCUUACACAUCUUCCCUUAGGGUCUGGUAUUGAAUGAGGCAGCUCUAGCGUUGAGGGUUGGAGGAGGAGGAGGACCUUUUGAGUCCUGCAGCUUUUCUUUGACGAACUCGUAAAGCUGAACAGAUCCCUUGUGGGCCUGAAACCUUAUCUUAAGCAUGCUUAAGAACCCUUGGUCAUCUGACUCUCCCUGCCAUCACCUCUUCCCCUCAGGGAGUUGGGACCUGUUUUUGUCACAGGUGGAUGGUUGGGACUCUGUUUCAACUGGGGCAAGUUGGCAAGAUACUGUGAUACUGCCUCCAGGACCUGCACUUAACCAGAUUGACCCCCUAGACUAUGUGUACCCCGAGUGUUGAGACCGAAUUUGUGCUGUUCCUGGUGGUGUCCUUGGCACUCAGUACAGUGCCUGGCACAUAGCAGGUGGUGACACUGAUGAUAAAAAUCCGUUCAAGAAUUUAGAUGUGACAUCUGCAGCAGGUUCAAAUCUCUCAGCUGUAAGACAAAGUGGAUACUUCGUAAAGAUUUUCAUCUGUUAUGCACAGAGCCAAAAUCCGUUACUGAAAUGGUCUGAGUGAGCUGCCUGCUGGGUCCAGUGAUGCACUAGUAGACAAAGAAGUUGAAAGAGAAGGAUGGCAUAUUCUUUGGAUGACUGGCAGAGUGUGACACCAAAAUGGCAUCAAGCCCUAUGAUUCCAAGGACUUCAUGAUUAAAUAAAAAAUGUUUUUUUUUUUUUUUUUUUUUUUUUUUUUGUGUGUGUGUGUGGGAGUGGGUAGUUGAAGUAACUUUGAUCUUUAACUCCGGGAAUGUGUAAUGUAUUAUCAUUCUAUAAUACACAGUAAUUGCUUUGGUAAUCAAACUUUAAAGGUUGUGUCUGUUUAUGGAAUUUAUGUAGUUACCACUUUUUAGUAUUGGGUUCUCUUACUUUAAGGAAACUACAGUAAGGAAAAACCUCUGAUUCAACUAAAAUAACCUAAAAAGGUUAAAGACUAUCAUUUUCACAAGACAGUUUUUGCUCUGGGGGAUUCUUGAAAUUUUGCUCUCCUGCAGCAUAUAUAAAAUAUGUUUCUGGGGUGCCAGGGUGGCUCAGUUGGUUAAGUGUCCGACUCUUGAUUUCAGUGUAGGUCAUGAUCUCAGGGUCAUGAGAUAGAGCCCUGUGUCAGGCUUAUGCUGGAUUUGGAGCCUACUUAAGAUUCUGUCUCCCCUUUGCCCCUCCCUCCCUGCCUCUCAAAAAAAAAAAAAAAUGUGUGUAAAAAGUUUGUAAAAAGCUGCUGUACCCAGAAUUUUCUAAGAAAACAUCCUUUUUGUUAGGCUUUUGAAUACAAUAGUAGUAGAAAGUCACACUAUACAAUACAAUACUACAGAACAGUUAGUUGAAUUAAAAAAUUAAUAUCUUUAGACAUGUUAACUAAAGUCACUUCACAUGUUUUUAGUGUGAAUUGAAAAUACACUGGUACUUUUUAGAACCAUUGCAUCACAAGAAAACCAGGACAUCAGAGUAUUCUCUGAACCAAAUCAAAAUCUUAUUUGGUUAGAGCCCCUGCUUUUGGUUUAUAUCCGUUUAUUCCAGUUGUAGAGGGUUUGAAAGCAGUUCUGGGAAAUGAAGUGGGUGGAUUCUCAAUGUUGAAUCCCAUUUUUUUUCUUUUCGGUGUAUCUUCAACAUUUUUUUUAUCUUAGCAUUCAACAAAAACUCUAGCAUCCCAGGAUAUAAAACAUAGAUUAUAUUUUAUAUAGUUCAUGCAGCUCAUCUACAAACAGAAAAAGAUUCCCUCAUGACUUACCUUGAAAGCUGUUCAGGGCAUAUACUAUUCAGGGCAUAUACUAUUUUAUUCAAGGCAUAUACUAUUCAGUUUGACAGUGUGCCACUGCCACUACUGUCAGAGUGCAAUACAACCAACAUAGCCAUCCUGCUAGGAAAAAGAUCUGUGGGUUGCUGAGUAGUAGAAGUUACACACAUCUAAUUUACAAGUCAGAUUAGAGAUCAGAAUCCUACGAUAGCUUUAUGUGGAAUUGAUUUCAUUUCAUGGUUUUUAAGCUAUUUUUUCAUUGAAAGCAGUGUCUAUAAUGGAAAGACAAGUAUGGUGUAGCAUUCGAAUGCCUUAAACUCUUAAAUCUGGAAUGAAAGAGAUAUAGAUGUUCAGAUUCUAGAGCUCAGGGAUUUUGAAAUAAAAUGCUCUUGUCAUUCA